rnacentral:snRNA from 1 species
CAACACGCAUACGGUUAAGGCACUGCCACCUACUUCGUGGCAUCUAACCAUGUUUUUUG